rnacentral:pre_miRNA from 1 species
GGAAACUUGGAAACUACCGUUGGAUCGAGAAAUGGACGUCCGAGAUUCGUCCACGUCACCCCUGGGUGACGUGGACGAAUCUCGGACGUCCAUUUCUCGAUCCAACGGUAGUUUCCAAGUUUCC